AUGUGGAGGAAAGAGUUGGUACUGGUGCACAAAAAAAAACAGAAGCCCUGCAGUCCAUUUGAUGUAGAAAAGCCAUCUAGUAUGCAAAAGCAAACUCAGGUUAAACUAAGAAUCCAGAUGGAUGGUGAUAAAUAUGGUGGAACCUCAAUUCAACUCGAGUUGAAAGAGAAGAGAAAAGGAUAUUGUGAAUGUUGCUGGCAGAAAUAUGAAGAUAUAGAAACUCACCUUCUAAGUGAGCAACACAGAAACCUUGAACAGAGUAACCAGUAUCAAGUUGUUGAUGAUAUUGUAUCUAAGUUAGUUUUUGACUUUGUGGAAUAUGAAAAGGACACACCUAAAAAGAAAAGAAUAAAAUACAAUGUUGAAUCUCUUUCUCCUGUUUCUGCAAAUGCCCUGACAAAGACAGAACAGAAAGAAAAAGUGGAAUUGCAAUAUAUUUCUCAGAAAGAUUGCUGGAAAGAUGAUAUACAGGCAAUGGAGCAGAAUUUCUUGUAUAAAGACACCCAGGAAAUUGAAAAAAAGCUUGUGUUUAUUUCAGAGCCCAAACCCACCCUUCAAAUAAAUUGAGAGGACUUAAUAAGAAAACAAUUAAUAAAUGUUCCAUGUUAAAUACAGCUGAAAAUGACAUAAGACAGAAUUUUAUACACCUACCUCUACAUAAAAUCAAACAGGAAUGCAUUCUUGACAUUUCUGAACACACAUUAAAUGAAAAUGACUUAGAAUUACUAAAGGUAGAUCACCAUUGUUGUAACAUACAGGCAUCUGUAAAUGUUUCUGAUUUCAAUACAGAUAAUAGUGCAUCUCAACCAAAACAAAAGUCAGAUACUGUGCGUUUUCCAGUAAAGGAUCUCAAGGAAAAGGACCUUCAUUCAAUAUUUGCUCAUGAUUCUGGUCUGAUAACAAUAAACAGUUCACAAGAGCACCUAACUGUUCAGGCAAAGGCUCCAUCACACACUUCUGAGGAGCCCAAUGAAUGUGUUAUUGAGAAUAUGAAUAGUUUACCUUCUGGUAAAAUACAUUGAAAAGUGAAAAUAUUACUUUGAUGAAAUAGAAAAUAAUAUCUGAAACCAAAUUUGAAUUUGAUAAAACAACUGAAUUUAUUACACAAGAAGAAAACAGAAUUUGUAGUUCACUGGUACAGUCUUUACUAGGCUUGUUUCAGACUAAUGAAGAGAAAUCAGAAUUGAGUUUCACAAGCUACACUGAAAACAGUGGUAUAUGCAAUGUUUUAGAUAUUUGGGAAAAGGAAAAUUCAAAUAAUCUGUUGACAAUGUUUUUCUCUUCCCCUUCAACUUCUACAUUUACUGGCUUUUAGACUUUAAAAAAUGCAUACUUUUCAGAAGUCAUAAGGAUCAUAUUCUUGAAAUUUUUAUAAGUAUGUAUGGAAAUUCUUGGGAAUUUUUUUACCAACUUUGUUUACAGAACCAAAUGUAAAUAUUAAAAAUAAAUGUAAUAUUUACAGUUUUCU